GAUGAACGCUGGCGGCGUGCUUAACACAUGCAAGUCGAACGAUGAAGCCCAGCUUGCUGGGUGGAUUAGUGGCGAACGGGUGAGUAACACGUGAGUAACCUGCCCUUAACUCUGGGAUAAGCCUGGGAAACUGGGUCUAAUACAGAAUAGGAGCGACCACCGCCUGGAGGGUGUUGGAAAGAUUUAUCGGUUUUGUAUGGACUCGCGGCCUAUCAGCUUGUUAGUGAGGUAAUGGCUCACCAAGGCGACGACGGGUAGCCGGCCUGAGAGGGUGACCGGCCACACUGGGACUGAGACACGGCGCAGACUCCUACGGGCGGCAGCAGUGGGGAAUAUUGCACAAUGGGCGCAAGCCUGAUGCAGCGACGCCGCGUGCGGGAUGACGGCCUUCGGGUUGUAAACCUCUUUCAGUAGAGAAGAAGCGAAAGUGACGGUACCUGCAGAAGAAGCACCGGCUAACUACGUG
rnacentral:rRNA from 1 species